UCUAUAAAUGCUUGCGCUUCUGCGGCGGGCGUUCUUUUGGGAGAACUGGAAGGUGUCUGUUGGUGGCGGUUUGUGGAGCACAUUUUGCCGUUAGUAGUCGCGAAGUGGAACUCGAUGGGCCCCUCAACUGCAGGCCAGCCUUCCUCGAGUGCUGCGGUGGUCUGGGCUCUGCUUUAGUCCCCUCAAUCUUCUGACUCCCUUUUUGCAGAGCAUGGUGAGUCGACGGCAGACCUUGACGGUAAAUCAGCUGCGUCCAGAGUCUUAACAAUGGGCAGGAGGGUUUGCUGGUAAGCUGGGCAUCUGUGUAUCUGAAUUGCUUUGCAAUAAAGCGGAAGUACAAUCUUG